UACGUAGGGGGCAAGCGUUGUCCGGAAUCAUUGGGCGUAAAGAGCGUGUAGGCGGCCAGAUAAGUCCGCUGUGAAAUCUCGAGGCUCAACUUCGAGCUGUCGGUGGAAACUGUCUGGCCAGAGUCCGGAAGAGGAGAAUGGAAUUCCUGGUGUAGCGGUGAAAUGCGCAGAUAUCAGGAAGAACACCCGUGGCGAAGGCGGUUCUCUGGGACGGUACUGACGCUGAGACGCGAAAGCGUGGGGAGCGAACAGG
rnacentral:rRNA from 1 species